rnacentral:misc_RNA from 1 species
AGCGGAGGGAUCAUUACAGAGUUGCAAAACUCCCAAACCAUUGUGAACCUACCCAAAACCGUUGCUUCGGCGGGUGGCUCCCGGGUCUCUCGGGUUGCCCCUCGGCCCCCCACGGGGCGCCCGCCGGAGGUACAUAAACCCUGUACUUUGUAUGGCCUCUCUGAGUCUCUGUACUGAAUAAGUCAAAACUUUCAACAACGGAUCUCUUGGUUCUGGCAUCGAUGAAGAACGCAGC